CCCGGGGGCUCCAGCGCUCGGUGUCAACGUAUCAUUGUCCGUGCGGAACCCCUCCGGGCCCCCCCCCUCCCGCCCCCCGGUCCGCCCUCCCCCCGCCCCGCCCCCCCACCGAACCACCUCAAUGAGAUGCAAACAUGAAAGACAAGAGGAAGAAGAAGGACCGCACCUGGGCCGAGGCUGCCCGCCUGAACUGCAAAAGAGGCUGCUGAGAUCGUGGAGGCUGAUAUACACACACAACAGUUGGGAAAUUCUUCUGAAAGAGCUGCAAAGAGAUUGAGAGGUGUCUUUUUCUAUUUAAUAUAAUCACUGCACCUGUUUGCUGUUAUCAACAGUCUGAGAGCUGUUAUGGCAAGAAGUUUCAUGUGUUAGUUAAAGUGUUGUUAAAUGUUGGAAUUAAUUUUAGUGAACAAUUUCAGAGUGGCAGAAGAGGGAUCUGGGGAAAGCAUUCUGAGGAUUAAUGUUCUGAAAUAAAUGAUUUUUAUUUAAAAGCUGCAAACAUACAUAAUAAUAGUUAUAAUGCUUGUUGCUUUUAGUACUCACAUACAUUUUCUGGGAUUAGUAGAAGAAAAUGAAACUGAGUUUAUGUUUGCUGGUAUGUCAUGGUAAAAAGGGAGUGUGCCUUUGUAAUGCUGAUGUACUCAGAUGGUUGCGCUGCUUUGGGAAACAGUGAAGAAGAGAAGGGAUUAUUCUUUUACCAAUGAGGAGUAGUAAAUACAAAGGAGAAGAAAAAAAAACCUCUAUGACAGAAAGUGAAGGAAACAGAAAAGAAAUACUUUCAAGUCCUAUGAUAAAACUACAUUCUAUUUAUUUAUUUGUUUUGCAACCAUUUCAUGUAAUGAGGUAACCCACUGAAGUCCCCACACCUUCACCUUUCAAGUUUGGUUGCUUCUCAAAUCUUAAGGUUGGAAAUGAAAAAAUAAGAUGAUGUCUUCUCUCAUCUGUAAAAGAUAUAACCUUUGUCUUGGAAAUGAAUUACUGUGUUUUUAUUAUGUUGCAUUCCUUCUAGAACAAUUUGCAGCGUGGGCUAUCUCAGCCAGAGUAUUAUUGUUGAAAGUAUAAGUAAUCGCUAUGAAAUAAUUGAAAAGACCAGUUUGUCUUCUGCAACAUUCUCUCAUCUGUUUGGUAAUAAGAUUUUUCAGAAUAAGUCUCCAAUGAUCUUGUGCAGGUUAUUUCUAGACCUGCAGAAAAUGCAUAUACCCUGGAAUCUUUUGUGUCCAGAAGUCUGUCUGAUGCAAUGCUUGAAGAAGUGACAAUUUUCUUGUGGUUCUGAACAAUGCAAUUUAUUUUUGUUUUAACCUUUAAGAACGUAGUGCCUAAAUUCUCUGUGUAUGCUUUUAUCUCUUUGGAUGAGAUUGCCUGACAUAAUUAAAUAAAGAUUGCAUUCCUAGAUUUGAGCUGUAUCUCCUUACCAACUCACACUGGCUCAAAGGCAUGGUAUGAAUUCAGUGGUUACACUGGAAGCCCAAUCUGAAGCUAUGUAACCUUUGCGUAAAACAGUUCUCAUUUUUCUGUUGCUUGCCUUUUUGGGGGGGGAAAUUGAAGAUUUAGCUCAAACAGGCAUGAAUAUAAUCUCUUAAAAUACUAAAUCUGAAAAGUUGUGUCUAAACCCCACAGACGCAGAGAUUCUUUGCCAGCAGCAUUCCCUAGGAGCUGAUGACAAUUAGAUACUGCUGCAUUUCCUGAGGAGAUGUGACUUUGGGAAAACUCAGAUCCUCAGAUAUAUGAAUGAAUGCAUAUUGAUGCUUACAGGAAAGUGUGAUAAACAUGCCAAAUAGACUUCAGCCAUGUUUUGCCCCUUCAUGGUUUGUUUUUUUUUUUGAGUGUUCUUUCUUGACAGUUAGCAGUUGAAUCUGAUUAGCAGACAGUGAAGAGUCCUCGGUAAGAAAUAAACUAUGAAGUUAAUGACCCUUAAAGGUAGAUGUUUGCCUUGAACAUGAAGCCUAGCUUUAAAAGGUCUGUAUGUUUGUAUUCCCUUAGAAAAUCCUCUGUGGUUCCUCUCUGUUGACCAUUUACUUCCUUGUGAUUCCAGUCCUCAGUGCUAGGAGUUGUAUGAUAGAUGACUGCCGGUCAUUUCCCACUGUAGCCUGCUGCCUGCUCAGCUAUUGUCCAGCUUGAUUUUUGGAAAUCUGGGCACGUAGUUUGGUUUAAUGCCUUCAAACAGGUUCAGGAGUUGGGAACCUCCACAUCUACAGAAUGUCCUGAGUGUUUUCAAUUUUUUUCCCUUGUGGAGGAAGAGGCAUUCUGUAUUUUGCUUUGAGAUCUGAUUACAAACUGUUGUUUUAACAAUCGAUGUUUUGUCUCCUUGCCUAGGCCAGUUCUGAGGUCACAGUUAAUCUUUCUUCUUCAUAGACUGGAGGCCCCACUGAAUUGGUUUGCCGAUGCCGAGUGAUUGCUCCUUAGUUCAAAUCUGUAAGGGAAAUCAGCAAUCAGUUGGAAGACAGCUGUACUGAUAAGGUUCCAUUGAUCUUUCUCUCCUGUCCACUCACUAUCAAUUAGAAGCAUCCUUUGCUUUCAUGAUACUUCUUCCCUGCCUUUGCCUUCCAUACCGCUACCCUGUGAUAUGGCUGGUCUCAAUGACGGGGCUGGCCUCAGUUGCUGAUUAUAAUUUAUGUGGCUAUAAUUAACAGCCUGAUAAAAAUGUCUGAGUCAGUACUUGAGAAGCCUAGAUAAUGAUAAUGCUUGUGGUGAGAACUCUUCAAUAACUCACUAUAUUUGAUGCAAACCAGUGGUAAAGGAUUGCUGUUUUUAACAGAAAAAAAGCAUUCAUAUCAAGGAUUACAUUUUACCCAGAGUAGCAUGAUUUAGCAGUAUCCAGAAAAUUAGAAUUUAAGAAAAUACAGAAAAUUUGUACUCCAUUUUGAGGAAAAAUGAUAUUUCCUCAUUAACAGAACUUCUGCUUAUCGUGGUGGUCAGCAGCACAGUAUAGUCUGAAACGUUGCUGUCAUUUUACAAUGUACCAGAAGCGCGUGAACAACAAAAUAUGUAUACACUUUCUCCAAAGUAACGGAGUUUUGAGAGAUCGUUAACGUAAGUUUGAGAUGGUUGGAUUAGUUUAGAAGAUCCUGGGGAUCUUGUAAGUUUUCUCAAAACUUGAGGAAAGCUGCUCCUUAUAUCCUAACUUUGAUUUAUGUAUUUGUAAAUGAAUGCAAACGCAGGUAGAGAGCCAUCAUACAUUCUUUCUAAUCCAACUACCGCGACAAUGUUUCUUAGGAAUGGUUGUUAAAUAGUGUAUUUUUCAAACCUUUAAACAGAUGCUACAAGUAUCACUGCAGACCACCACUAUGUUCUGCAUUAAAUGUUACAUUUAACAGGACAACUGUGGGUGGACCUGGGUGAUGAGAUGGGGGAAAGGAUUGUGUGGAAGGACUGGUAAGAAGGACUGAACGAGUGACAUAAAAUGGAUAUGAGUUAGUGAACCAUAGCAUAUUCUUCUAUUUUUGAAAAUCUUAGAUGAGUAAUUGUCAACUGUGCCAUCUGUAAGUAAUGUGGGCUUCCAAAUUUGUGGCAAUUAAAACUGCCUAGCAUCCCACUCCAGCCCUGUAUUUUAUUAUGUGUACAAGUCAAUACUGAAGGCUAAUCUCUUAUGACAUUAAUCGCCUCAUGAGGAGAGAUGGAAUAAAUCACAGUAGCCCUUCCUCUCUUCACUCAUGAAGAUAAAUGCUAUAACAUGAUGGCUGAUCUUUGUUAUGACACUAACCAUUAUAUAUUUAGCAGAGAUAGCAAAAUCCCACUGACAGCUAACAAAAGAAUUCUCUCUUUACAUGUUCUAUGAGAAGGCUGUAUUUCUUUAGUUCAGAAACAUGACUUAUCAUAUCUGCUCUCAGAGCAAUUUAAGCAGUAGAUCUGGGUUGUGCCAGUGAACUAAAUUCUUUAUGUGGUGAUGUCAUGAUUCCAAAUAAUAAAAACUCAUGUGAAAUCAUUGUGCAGCGCUGGGGGAAGAAUGCAUGUAAUGGACGAGGACUGUUCAGAUGCUACUGUUUUGUAUUGCCAAUGCUGAAGAGAAAGUAUAAUUCCUAUUAAAACAAAACAAAAACAACCAAACAAUAAAGAAAACAACAACAGCAGCGAAAAACAGCCCUCCCCACCAACUGAACUGCGGAGCUUUCAGGUUUGUGGAGGUUCUGUUUUUUCUUUUGCUGCCAGUACUUGAACAGGUGGGCUCAGAGAACUGAAAGUGACUGGUUUUUCUUUCUGUAAUUGCAAGGGAUUUUUUUUUUCCUUUUUUUUUUUCUGGCUCUCUCAUUUGCUGCAUGCCUUUCAGGAAUUUCUUUCCAUGUUUUCCAUGUGUUAGACACAGUCUGGUCUUUCUUUCGGGGAUAAAGUUACUAAGAAAGACUCUUAGUCAUUUUCUGCAUCUCCGCUUACUUAUUAAUUUGAAGAGAGCAGUGCUGUAUAUCAUUCUGUAAGGGAGAAACAGAGCAAACAGCUGAGUUGUGAAGUUUAUGGACUUUCCCUGUGAGGUUAAGAGGAUCAAUGGCUCUUAUAUUGUCUUUUCACAUAAGCAUCAAAACGUGCUGCAGGUUUCACGAGGUAGUUUCUUGCCAUUUAUCUUAUAGAAUUAAAAUGGAAGUAAAAAUGUAACAGUUUUAUUUACGCGGUCAUUGUCAUCAGCCAUAUUUUAUUAGCAUGAAGAGAAGUGCUUCUAGGCUGCUUAAAUGUAUUCAUGGUACAUCAAUGGAGUCAGUGUCAGCUGCAGCAUGAAGCGUAUCUUAUCUUUUUAGUAGGUGAUUUUCACCUGGAUAAAAUACUUAAAAUGGCCAAAGCUGAUAGGUAGGAAUAUUUAGCUGAAGUGCAUAGUUAAAAUGGUUGAUUUGUAUUCUGCUAUGAUUCCAGACUUGUUAUUUUUAUUUUUCUCCUUUUUUUUUUUUUUUCUUCACCUUCUGGAAAUGUUGGAUCUGUAUCUUUAGGACACUGUCGAACAAGAUAAGCUCUGGUAAUAAAGCAAUGGCAACAAAACCGGCGUAACUGUCACCUCUUGUUAAAUCUGCUGCGUUCAGAGAGUAGCCAGUAGGAAUUUUAUUUCUCACAUUAAAAGUAACUCUUACACAUUACAUUUGCCUGAGGAAAUUAAGCAAUGAAGGCUUUUAAAACUAGCACAUCCACAUUUUGUCUAUUGAUUUUUAUGGGAAGUUUUACUCUUCUUAUUUUUUUUUUAUCUUUCUGUGCUGAACCAUUGGUCAUGCAGCAGUGCUUUUGUCAGUAUGUCCAAAAAAAAAAAAAAAAAAAAAAGGGAUAUCAGCAUUCAAUAAAGCAAACAGUGUAUACAGUGUAUAGAGAAGUAACUAUGGUUGUGGUGAUGAGCACGUUCACAUUGCUGGUAGUUCUUUCUUCUGUUAUCUGUAGCAUAAAAGCAGCUGACAGGAAACUCGUAUCCAUUCCACCCCAUUAGUCCCAGUCACCUAAGCAUGGCCUCUCUUCAUUUUGUACAGGGGGAAGAACCAAAGGGGAAUUUUUAUCCCUCCUGGAAUGAGAAGCAUUUCAGGACUGUGGCCUGUUUGAUCACUGAACUAGUGUAGAUUUCAGUACAUUUUGGGGUGAUUGAGCUGGUUUUUGCUCCUGGCCCCUUCUCUGGAAUAACGAUUCAUUACUGUAAACAGCUUUGACCCAUGUUUUUCAGCUGACUGCACUGAUGCUGAAAUUGAAACUUCUACACUAAUUUUCUAAACUUAAUAGAUGGAGAUUAUAUCCUACCAGCUGUGGAAGGUUCACAAUGCAAUUUGUCCUGUCAGUAUCUCACAGCUACAAUGUGCUGCUGGCUUGCUGCUAAGCACAUGCACAUUUGGGCUACCUUGGCUGCGUACCUGUGUUUGGUUUUGGGGAGCCCACAGCAGUGAAACAUAUCUGUAUUAACGUGCUAAUGCAUCAGAAUGCAGAGAACAUAGGGAUGUACUGUGAGAGUGUACUAUGGUAAAGAACAAGGAAGAAAGUUUUUUGUUUGUUUGUUUGUUUGUUUUAGUAGGGAUGCGGAAAGGUUGCAGGUAUUGCCAUAGCUCAAAAGGCAAGAGUAUCACUGUGUGUGCUGAGAAAGGCUGAGCAGAGAGAGGCAGUGGGGUGCUGUGAUAUAAAGUAAGAAGAGGUAAGGCUUGCAUGGCUAAGCAGAAGUCUUCAGGGGCUGUACUGCACCAUCAGAGUUGUGCAUUCUGAGAGUUUGAAGGCUUCACUGCUUGGACUGAAAUUAUUGCUAGUAGUUCUCCUAAUAGUAGUGGAACCCAUUCUAGGGUAGGAAGUUUGAUAUGGUGCUCACUGGGAUAUGUAUCUUUGAUCCUCAUCUCACACCUCUUGUUGAUAGAAUCCUGCAUACUGACUGAGUUCAUCCUGUUAGAGUUAUGGAGGUGUUCAUUGACCUAUGCCAACAAAUCCUUUAAAUGAAAGUUCCUGGUUGCUCAGGCAGACUGAUUACAUCAGUAGGGAGAGAAAUAUGAAGGCCUCCUUUUCUUUCAUUAUAUUAGACCAGAUCUGUGAGUUGUUAGAGAAUGCCAGUUGUUGAGGAUUGAAAACUUUACAUCCAUUUUCUAGUGUGAUGGAUGAGACUGCUGACGAUGCCAAGAUGUCUUUGCUGAUAGAACUUUGGCUUUUAAAAGUAACAACAUGAUUAUAUUUUUAAUUUUAAAUGAUUUGUAAUCCAGUUUCUCUUGAAUUCAAAAUGUCAAGUGUAUGGUUUCUUUGGAAUUUCCAAAGCAGCAUUGCUGCCUUUCUAUCAGUUUAAAGUGUGAAGUUGUAAACGGAUAAAUAAAACCAAUAAAAGGGUUCAGAAGUCUCAGAGCAAGCUUCAGACAAGCUGGUCAAAGAAAUUGAGUGAAAUCAUAAAAAAAAAAAAAAGAAAAAGAAAGAAAAAAAAAGCAAAUCGUUCAGCUUCUUUCUGUCUCUUUUCUUUCAGUAUUUUAGGAGAUGAUAUUGCCUUGUGUAUCUGGCAGGUUAGAAAACGUAGGCUAUUUCAGACCAACUUGCAAACAAUUCUACGUUAGUUCACGCUAAAGGAACUGUGCUAAAAUGCUUUUGAUUGGAAGAGGGCUGGGGAAUAUGGAUUCAAGGCAUGCUUUAACCGUUUGAGCUUUCAAUGUCAGUAGCGUUACCUUGGAACCUAAAAUAAGUGUGGAUUAGUAAGCGAGUACAGAAGUGAUGCUAAAGCUUCAUUUAAUGUAUUGCAGCAAAUUUAGGUGUUUUCACAUGGUUUUCUUGCUCUUUUUACAUCUUUAUUCCUUUCCUUGCUUGAUCUUGCUUUUCUUUCUGAUGUAAUGAAGUACAAGUUACAAAGACAAAUGCAUAGAAUAGAGCAUAUCAUGAAAGACAUCCCUGAUGAAGUGCAACUACCUCCGCUCAAAUUUUGUAACUUCCUUACAGUAACAGGGCUUGCAUAAAGACAUAAGGCCUGUGGGGAGAGUUAUUACUCCCAUUUCAGCUUCUUCUAAUAUUUUAGUACUUGGAAAUUACCCUUUACCUUUCUCUUAAUCACCAUCAGCAAGAGCUCCGUGAACAUCUGUUUGAGAAAUGUUAAAAUAGCUUGUAGUGUAUCUUCCCUUAUUAUUCCUUCUUUCCUCUUCACAUCUUGUAUACCCUUUCUCCUCCCAGUCUUUCUGUUUUCUUUUCCUCAUCCAUCUCUAUCCAAUUCCUUUCUUCUCUAGCUCUACAUCCUACCCGUACCCUCUCCUCUCCUAACCAUUUACCCAUCUUUCUUCCCACAAAGGGCUUUGAACUUUUACCAGGCUGCCCAUAAUUCCCCAAUGAGUAAAGCCGUUAAUCAAAAAUGAGUACAAAAGAUUUGAGUGGGGCAUUUCCCACAAUAGAAGUCAGUCCUCCUGUUAACCUCACACAAGCAGCUGAAAAAGACAAUGCUGGAUUUAUUCCAGGAUGCUGUUCUUGUACCCUGUUUGGAACUCCAUCUUUCAAUUCAUUAACUUAGGAAUGGGUGUCUAGAAAAGAUGAUGCAUAUUCUGCUUAGUAGAAGGAAAGAUAUUCUUCUGUUCUUCUCUUGUUAGGCAGUAAAGAAUGUCUGUUGUGCAGUUUAGCCUUACUUGUAUUAUAGCUGCUGAGUGGGAGCUCUGGCAAUAACUGUACUAUUCCUUUUUCUCCUCCUGAAUUAUUUAAAUAACGUUCUAAAGAGAACUGCUCCGGUUUGUGCGUAGUGGCUCAGCAUAUUGUUGGACUAAGCAGACGUGAUAAAAUGAUUCUGAGUUUUGUCAGCAGUCUGACCUUCAGAGCCCUGUGGGCAGCUUGCAGAAAAAGGCUUGGCUCAGGCUCACUUACUGUACUUGACGAUCAGCAUCACCAAGACCACUGGACCAAGCUGCUGCUAUUGGACCACAGCACAGUUUCAGUCUACACUAGGUUUGUCUUUAGAAGCAUCGUUUUAUAUCAGCGUCAUAACUCCUAGAUGCAGGAGUAAUGGCUGCUUCUCUGGCAAAGCUUCUUACUUUUUGCAGGACAAUGUGAGUGGCAAGCUUUACUUUCUAGUUUUCCUUUCUUCAUGCUGUUCCUCUGCUUGUGUUCCCUCUAGUGGCGG
rnacentral:lncRNA from 1 species